UACGUAGGGACCAAGCGUUGUUCGGAUUUACUGGGCGUAAAGGGCGCGUAGGCGGCCGCCUAAGUCAGACGUGAAAUCCCUCGGCUCAACCGGGGAACUGCGUCUGAUACUGGGUGGCUUGAGUUUGGGAGAGGGAUGCGGAAUUCCAGGUGUAGCGGUGAAAUGCGUAGAUAUCUGGAGGAACACCGGUGGCGAAGGCGGCAUCCUGGACCAACACUGACACUGAGGAGCGAAAGCCAGGGGAGCAAACGGG
rnacentral:rRNA from 1 species